UUCCUGGUGGCUCAAACAGUAAAGAAUCUGCCUGCUAUGCAGGAGAUCCAGGUUCGAUCCCUGGGUAGGGAA
rfam:TPA: Bos taurus chromosome 4, whole genome shotgun sequence.